ensembl:lncRNA
GUUAUAGUGCUGGGGAAAAGUAUCUGAUUUCUUCGGUUUUUGUUUAUAUCUCAUACUAAAUUGUUUCAGAAAUAAAAACCAAAUGUAAGAUAAAACAAAGGCAACCUGAGUAAACACAAGAUACAAUUUUUAAAUGAUAAUGUUAUUUAUUGACGCAAAAAAUGUCAUCCAAUACCAAUUGUUUACAAAUUCCGGAAAUCUAUGAAACUGCAUUCAUUGGGGUUCGGCUGCACUAGAUGCAACCAGGCAAUAGCAUGAACUUGGUUAAAAUGUCUUACCCAGGAACACAUUAUGAAAGAAAUUCCAGAAAUGAUGAGGAAGAAGGUGAUUGAAAUACAUCAGUCUGGGACAGGUUACAAAGCUAUUUCAAAGGCUCUGGGACUCUAAAGAACAACAGGGAACAACAUUAUCUCCAAAUGGAAAAAACGUGUCACAGUAAUGAACCUUCCCAGAAGUGGCUGACCUUCCACAAUUCCUCCAGGAGCACAGCAACGACUCAUCCAGGAAGUCACAAAAAAGACAAGGACAAAGGACCUACAGACCUCUCUUGAAUCAAUAAAGGUCACUGUUCAUGAUUAAAUGAUCAGAAAGACACUGGGCAAAAAUGGCAUCCAUGGAAGAGUGGUGAGGUGAAAACCACUGCUAACCCAGAAGAACAUUAAGGCUCAUCUGAAUUUUUGCAAAACACACCUUGAUGAUCCUCAAACCUUUUGGGAGAAUGUUUUGUGGAUUGAUGAGUUGAAAGUGGAACUGUUUGAAAGACACUAUUCCCGUUACAUCUGGCGUAAACCAAACACAGAAUUCCACAAAAAGAACAUCAUACCUACAGUCAAGCAUGGUGGUGGAAGUGAGAUGGUGUGGGGAUGAUUUGCUGCUUCAGGGCCUUUGUUUUAUAUUGCAUUUUGUUUGAAGAUCUGUUUAGAAGGAGAAAUACAUAAAACAGAAGAAAUCAGGAUGGGGCAAAUACUGAAAAAUAAGUACACGCCAUGAAAACUGUUGGCUUUUUUGACAUAUUUGGAGAAGCAAACAUUUUAUCCUCUUUGAAACAAUGCCUAUUAAUAAAGUUGAUCAUGCACACAUACAACUGACAUUUUGUAGUAAUUUUCACAAAUUUAACUACCAAAAAAAAAAGAUCAGUCACAUGAAAAAAAAGUGCAACAAUUUCUAUGGGGUGUGCUUAUUUUUUCACAUGACUGUAUUAGAAGGUGUUUCAAAGGGUUAUAAAAGAAUAAUGUACCUACUGUGGCAAUAAGUGAGAUAGAUAAAUAGAUGGGAAAAUGGGUACAUGUGGAAGUUAUUGUUCAUCAAGGUCUUGACCUUGAUAUGGUGUAAUUUCACUUG